UACAGAGGUGGCAAGCGUUGUCCGGAUUUACUGGGCGUAAAGAGCGCGCAGGCGGCUCGUCAAGCCUGACGUGAAAGCCCCCGGCUCAACCGGGGAGGUCGUCGGAUACUGCGGAACUAGAGGACGGUAGAGGCGUGUGGAAUUCCGGGUGUAGUGGUGAAAUGCGUAGAGAUCCGGAGGAACACCAGUGGCGAAGGCGACACGCUGGCCGUACCUAACACUGAUGCGCGACAGCAUGGGGAGCAAACAGG
rnacentral:rRNA from 1 species